rnacentral:rRNA from 1 species
GGGGUCGAAUUUAAAUGGAUAGCUUAGAUAUUGUGGUGCCAUAACCAUCGAUCAAGUAGUCCCUACGGGAUUACCCCCCCCGAAGGUUGACCUGUUUGGGUGAAUGAAACCCCACUCUUUUUUGUUAAAUGAGCUAACCCUUUCUCCCUUAAAGGGGGACAAUGUAAGUUGGACAGUUUGGUUGGGGCGACCGCCUUUUAAAGAGUAACGAAGGUGUGCUUAAGGUACACAAAUAAUAACACAAGCCUGACUGCGAGGGGGAGCCCUCCGAGCAGACACCUAAAGUAUCCUCCCAUCCUCCCGAAGGUUAAAGACGAAUGGUGGGCUAUAGUGACCCGUUGAUUUAGAGUGGAAUAG